GAGUUUGAUCCUGGCUCAGGACGAACGCUGGCGGCGUGCCUAAUACAUGCAAGUCGAGCGAGGGUUUUUAAGACCCUAGCGGCGGACGGGUGAGUAACACGUAGGCGAACCUGCCUCUCAGACCGGGAUAACAUAGGAAACUUAUGCUAAUACCGGAUAGGUUUUGGAUCGCAUGAUCCGAAAGAAAGAUGGCUUUUCGCUAUCACUGGGAGAUGGGCCUGCGGCGCAUUAGCUAG
rnacentral:rRNA from 1 species